AGCGAACGCUGGCGGCAGGCCUAACACAUGCAAGUCGAACGAACUCUUCGGAGUUAGUGGCGGACGGGUGAGUAACACGUGGGAACGUGCCUUUUGGUUCGGAAUAACUCAGGGAGACUUGUGCUAAUACCGAAUGUGCCCUUCGGGGGAAAGAUUUAUCGCCAUUAGAGCGGCCCGCGUCUGAUUAGCUAGUUGGUGAGGUAACGGCUCACCAAGGCGACGAUCAGUAGCUGGUCUGAGAGGAUGACCAGCCACACUGGGACUGAGACACGGCCCAGACUCCUACGGGAAGCAGCAGUGGGGAAUCUUGCGCAAUGGGCGAAAGCCUGACGCAGCCAUGCCGCGUGAAUGAUGAAGGUCUUAGGAUUGUAAAAUUCUUUCACCGGGGACGAUAAUGACGGUACCCGGAGAAGAAGCCCCGGCUAACUUCGUG
rnacentral:rRNA from 1 species